UACAGAGGUCCCAAGCGUUGUUCGGAUUCACUGGGCGUAAAGGGUGCGUAGGCGGUCGGGUAAGUCUGUCGUGAAAUCUCCGAGCCUAACUCGGAAACUGCGUCGGAUACUAUUCGGCUAGAGGAAUGGAGGGGAGACUGGAAUUCUCGGUGUAGCAGUGAAAUGCGUAGAUAUCGAGAGGAACACCAGUGGCGAAGGCGAGUCUCUGGACAUUUCCUGACGCUGAGGCACGAAAGCCAGGGGAGCAAACGGG
rnacentral:rRNA from 1 species